rnacentral:rRNA from 1 species
AUACGUAGGGUGCAAACGUUGUUCGGAAUCACUGGGCAUAAAGCGCACGUAGGCGGCCAAGUCAGUUCGGUGUGAAAGCCCUCGGCUCAACCGGGGAACUGCAUCGAAUACUGCUUGGCUCGAGGAUGGUUGGGGUGAGUGGAACUCCUGGUGGAGCGGUGAAAUGCGUAGAUAUCAGGAGGAACACCAGUGGCGAAAGCGACUCACUGGACCAUAUCUGACGCUGAGGUGCGAAAGCUAGGGUAGCGAACGGGAUUAGAUACCCCGGUAGUCC